GUGGGCAUAGGGAGGGUCUGUCCGUCUGCCUUCCCUCCUGUUUCAGUUCGGCCUUUGGAAGGGGUGCUGGCACAGAGAGCUGGACGGGGGUGAGUUUUUACGUGCAUCGUAGUGGAAAACAUAGAACAGAUGAAUGGUGGUUCAAAACUUCUUUCAUUGUUGGUGUUGUGGGGUUGAAGGGACCCGAGGCACAGCAAUGUGAGGACCUGCAGAACGGGGAACACCAGGGCAGGAGCUUUCCUUAACUCAUCCAAGGCACAAAUAAGUAGGUGAUGGUACCACUGGGCUGUCCAGAACCUGCGGUGUCUCAUCAUGCGGGCUCCGCUUUUUGCUAGCAGAAAUCCAGCCUAUCAUAUGCAGACUGGAAUGCUUUCAGUUAGCUCUUGUAGGGGAGCAGUAGCGAGGUUUUAUUGGGCUUUUUUACUUGAACCACAUGAGCUUUAAGAGUGCAGGGUCCUGGGGGUGGGCUCUGCCUGAAGCCAACCCUAGGCUUGGAAGGGGUACUGAAUGGAUACCAGUGGAGAUGGCUGUGGGUUUUCCAUAGGUGUGGAAGCCCUGGGAUGGAGGCGGUGGCACCUUGGACAGCAGUGCUCCCUUUGCAGCUAGUGGAGGCAGAGAGACGAAGCCAGCUCCCCGUCCCUAGACAGCUUGUGGUUGUUGGAGUUGCAGAAAUGUCUGCUUUGGGUGAAUUCAGCCAACAGAGCUUCACUGGGAGGGCUGAUGAGCUACAGUGGGGAUAAGGAAACAGGGGAAGAAGUUUCUAACUAGGUCAUUCAACGUUAAGGGAAAUGUACUGGGUGGUCACAGGAGGCAGAUAACGUCGGUUGAUGGCAGUCAGCAUUGGAGGAGUUGUGGCUUCAGGCUGGGCUUUGAGGAGAGCAGCAGGGCUGAGCGUUGCCUCCCAAAUGGGAGUGCUGGAGUGCACAGCGAGCUGAGAGCAAGUGGCCUUGUGCUGGCUUGGACAGAAGGCUCUCAGAGGGGCUUCAUCAUUGAUCUAAUCGCUCACAAUUCCUGUUGCUUCCUUGCUUCCUGCUCUUCCCUCGUAACAACUGUUUGUCACAGCACUGGCAGGAGGCUGUGUAGUUUGCUGCAUUCCCUGGCAGGAGCUGGAGCUGCGAGUGAGCCUGCUUCUGGUUGGAUUGGAAGGGUCCUUAAAGAUCGUAGAGCCAUGGAACGGUUGCAUUGGAAGGGUCCUUAAAGAUCGUAGAAUCACAGCAUGGUUGAUGUGGAAGGGUCCUUAAAGAUCACAGAACCACACAAUGGUUGGGUUGGAAGGGACCUCAAAGCCCUCCCAGCCCCAUUUCCUGCCAUGUGUUGGUUGUUCCCUACUAGCUGAGGCUGCCCAGGACACCAUCCAGCCUGGCCUUGGGCAUCUCCAGAGAUGGGGCACCCACAGCUUCUCUGGUUAGCCUGCACCAGGGCCUCCCCAGUCUCUGGGUAAAGAAUUUCCUCCUAAAUCUCCCCUCUUUUUGUUUAAAACUGUUCCUCCUUUGCUGCUUUGACGUGAGACCCGGAGCACACAGCCAGCCUGCAGGGGGGACGGGAUCCAAGCAGCACGUUCGGUAUCUGAUCUGUAUUGUCUGGGAACUGUUUGCUAAAUCCCUGGUGCAGGAGCUAUGUUCCAGUGCAGGAGACAGCUCACGGCUGGUCAGAAUGAGCAAACAACGGGUUUUAUUAUGCAUCUCCAUACCCUUCGCUGCUAAAGAGAGCUCAAAGCAGGACGCAUCAGCUCACGAGCCAACCCUGAACCAACGCCAAGCAUCGAUGACCCGACACUCCCGUUUGCAAGAGAUUGAUAUUGGGUGCUCAGAAAUAGUGAUGGCCCUCCCCGGGCCCUGGAAAAUGUCC
ensembl:lncRNA